CUGAACGCCUCUAAGUCAGAAUCCGUGCUAGAAAC
rnacentral:rRNA from 1 species